GAAAGAUGGCGGACAGACACAGACCAGCAGAGUGACCUCGACAAAACCUAUUGAGAAUAGAUUGGAGAAGAUUCGACGUAAUGUCAAUGCAUCAGACAAUACUGAAGCGAGGACAUGAUCUCCUCUCUGCUGAGAGAUGCACAUUGUGCUGCAACUAGUACCACUGUGCCUACUGUAAAAGGGUGUAUAACCAUUUACAUGAGGGACAAAAUCAUGUUGCAAAUCACAUUCACAUUGCAGUUCAGCAGGAAGAUUUUGUCAUCAUCAAGUGCAGUCUAGGCUACAGACAAACACCACAUUUUCACUGCUGCUACUGCACGUCAACAUUAAUCAGAUGGGAUGCUCUUAUUAAACAUUUAACAACUUGUAAAAAUACAUCAUCUGGACAG